GCUCUGUGGUUUAACCCACAGUGCCACCCGUGUCCCCUGUUGGUAGAGUAGGAGACUCUUAAUCUCAGUGUUGUGGGUUCAAGCCCCUCGUUGGGCA